rnacentral:lncRNA from 1 species
ACUCUAUCAGUCAGUUGAAGGCUUCCAGAGCAAACAGAUUUCCUGGAGUAGGCCUUGUGUCAUAAGCUGGAAGACAGAAGUCUGGCUAGAGUGUCGAGACCACCCACUCUUCUCCAGAUAUCAUACUUGUCAGUCAUUUUCUCCCUCUCCCUCCGUCCUAUCAGCCCCGUUUCUCAGGAGAACCCUGACUGGUUCUUUCUUUACACAAGAAAGGGUGAAGGCUCAGCGAAAGGGACAAUGCCUUUCUGGAGUCAACUGCACCUGGGAGCAGCAGGCAGGAAGUGUCAUUUGUUGGCUACAGAUCUGAGCAGUUUCGGGUACGAAGGGAUCAUGGGGCUUGGGCACACACACAGAGAACAGAUGGACACAAGUACUUCUGGACCAGUGUAGAGAGAGGGCACAACAGUUCAGUGGGCAAAGGCACCUGCCAUGAGAACUCACUGACCUGAUCCUCAGAACCCACGUCAAGGUGGAAGGAGAGAACCAGCAUGUGCCUGCAUACCUGUAUCAUACAUGCACAUAAUAAUAAUAAUAUAUAAAAAAUUAAGAAAUAGCAAUUGUGGCCCUAUUGCCAUAGAUUAUCAAGACAAACCCCACUACUGCUAAUAUUUGGGUGCUAAUUUUCUUUUUUCUUUUCUUUUCUUUCUUUUUUUUUUUUUUUUUUUUGAGGUAGAAUUUCUAGUCAAGGCUGGCCUCCAGUUAGUUCCCUGGGUAGUUAAAGAUGACCUUGAACUCUUGGUCUUCCUGCCUCUACCUAAAUGCUGAUUUAUGCAAUGCCAGGGUUUGAACUCAAAGCCUAUACAUGAUGAUCAGGCUGCCUAUCGACUGAGCUACAUCCCAG